rnacentral:rRNA from 1 species
GAUGAACGCUGGCGGCGUGCCUAAUACAUGCAAGUCGAGCGAACAGACGAGGAGCUUGCUCCUCUGACGUUAGCGGCGGACGGGUGAGUAACACGUGGAUAACCUACCUAUAAGACUGGGAUAACUUCGGGAAACCGGAGCUAAUACCGGAUAAUAUAUUGAACCGCAUGGUUCAAUAGUGAAAGACGGUUUUGCUGUCACUUAUAGAUGGAUCCGCGCCGCAUUAGCUAGUUGGUAAGGUAACGGCUUACCAAGGCAACGAUGCGUAGCCGACCUGAGAGGGUGAUCGGCCACACUGGAACUGAGACACGGUCCAGACUCCUACGGGAGGCAGCAGUAGGGAAUCUUCCGCAAUGGGCGGAAGCCUGACCGAGCAACGCCGCGUGGGUGAUGAAGGUCUUCGGAUCGUAAAACUCUGUUAUUAGGGAAGAACAAAUGUGUAAGUAACUAUGCACGUCUUGACGGUACCUAAUCAGAAAGCCACGGCUAACUACGUG